GCUUUGUUAGCUCAAUGGUAGAGCACCGUACUGAAGAUGCGGGGAUUUGUGUUCGACUCACAGAUGGGGCA